rnacentral:lncRNA from 1 species
UGCUUCUUAUUUGGGACAGGGACCCCUAGGCCUGUCCUCUAUCCAUGGAGCAACUCUGCUUCUUAUUUGGGACAGGGACCGUUGUGCUGAAGGGGAUGUCGGUGGUGAUUACGUAACCAUUUCAACAGACAGAGGUAUUUUUUAAGGCUCUGAUUGGCUGGCCUCCUUAGGAGUAGGAGACCGAAGAACAAUAAAUCCAGCGACAGCCCAGCAGCUGGGCCUGUCCAUCCCUGGGGUCGUGAUUUGCGUUGCGUGGAGCAAACGCCUGGGAAGAUGAAGACACUACUGAUUUUGAUAACUUUCCUGGUGCUAUACUUCGUGCUCUCGAUUGAAAUGCACGUCUACUUACAGAUGCCGUUCUACCUUAAUCAGGUAAUAGCCAAAGGCCUCCCUCCCAACAGUUGGAAUGGUGACUCACUGCACUUCUCUGGCCUCUUUCUGCCAUCAGGAGCCGCUUGGGCUUGGGAUCAAAAUAAAAUGUAUAUAACUGUUAUGAAAACGGAUUAUUCAAACUACGCCAUACUCCACGCCUUGAAGAAAAUAGGGCAAGAGAUGAUCCCUUCGGUGAUCUUUCUCAGUAAGUGAAAGGCUGAUGAACAAGAGAGUAGCUGUGCAGCACAGGGGGUGAGGAGGAGGGUGCAUGUGGCAACAGGAGCAGAGCCCACCCUGGAGGAGCCCCUGCCCCCAACCC